rnacentral:rRNA from 1 species
UGUAAGAAUAAAUAGUCGAACAGACUAAAUUUUUUAACUUCUACACCAAAAAAUAAUCUUAAUCCAACAUCGAGGUCGCAAACUUUUUUAUCGAUAAGUUCUCUUUAAAAAUAUUACGCUGUUAUCCCUUAAGUAACUUGAUCUUUUAAUCAUUAUUAAUGGAUCAAUUCAUUAAUUCAUGAAAAAAAGUUAAACAAAUUUUCCUAUCACCCCAAUAAAAUAUAAUAUUAAGCUUUAAAGGGUCUUCUCGUCCUCUAAUUAAAUUUAAGCUUUUUAACUUAAAAAUUAAAUUCUACAACAAUUUAAAUAAGACAGUAAAAAUUUCAUUCAAUCAUUCAUUCCAGCUUUCAAUUAAAAAACUAUUGAUUAUGCUACCUUUGCACAGUCAAAAUACUGCGGCCUUUUUCAAUGGGCAGAUUAGACUUUUUAUU